UACGUAGGGGGCUAGCGUUGCUCGGAAUGACUGGGCGUAAAGGGCGCGUAGGCGGAUGGUACAGUCAGAUGUGAAAUUCCUGGGCUCAACCUGGGGGCUGCAUUUGAUACGUUCGGACUAGAGUGGGGAAGAGGGUCGUGGAAUUCCCAGUGUAGAGGUGAAAUUCGUAGAUAUUGGGAAGAACACCGGUGGCGAAGGCGGCGACCUGGUCCUUGACUGACGCUGAGGCGCGAAAGCGUGGGGGAGCAAACAGG
rnacentral:rRNA from 1 species